GGAAUAUAAGAACUCGUCUUUUAAUUUUUAACUAAAAAAAUUAAAAACCAGUUCUUAAAUCUCUUAUUUAAGAGCCGAUUCUUAGUUUUUUUAGUUAAAAGUUAAGAGACGGGUUCUUAUAUUCC
rfam:Brassica oleracea var. oleracea cultivar TO1000 chromosome C8, whole genome shotgun sequence